CUAGGCCUGGGUCGGGGGAGUGGUUCUGGGAGGCAUCGGUGUGGAGGAGAUGAAUAAAGCCAUGGGUCUGUCCAUAGAGUGAAUGUAGAGGGCAGAGGAGGGUCAAGUUCACAGGUAUCCACCUCUGCAAAGGCCUGCAUCCACUUCUUAUUCUCCCCUCCGCAGAAGUAGAGCCAAACUUGUUUCUCAUGUAAUAACUCCCUGCUGAGGACUGUUGGGAAAUAAACUGUCUUCUCAUUUGAAGAUGAAUAAUCUUGGGGGCAUUUCCUUUUCUCCCAGAUCACAAAGUUUUCCACAUCCUUUGGAGAAGCUCAAAUCUUACCCAUAAGCAUCCUCAGACAGCACGUUUAGUUAUUUUCUGACAGUGUCUUAUUUUCUGAUGCCCUUUAGCCGGUGUACUGUUCCAUAUACUCAGCCCUGGGUGAAUGAUUUCCUGAGACGCUGGCUUUCUCCUGGCCCUUCAUAUCAACCAGUUACUCUUUGAUGGAAACAUGACAGCCAAGGAGGUGCCAAGAACCUCACCUAAGGUCGCACAGCUACUUGGCUUUGGGACUUGAGGUUACUGCCUUUCAGCUCUAUGCUCUUUCGACAGCAUCUUACACAACUUAUGGAAUGGUUGGAGAAGCAGGAAUCGCACCUCCGAAACAAUUACAGAACUCUCCGAGGGGAACAGAGUUCCCCUUGUUGGUGAUUUCCCAUCCACAGUGGGCUUGCUGCCAGUGUCUUUAUGUUGUUUUCUUAUAUAUGAUUGUUUGUGGGUUGUAAUUUUCUUUUGAGACACCGGGAAUUUCCAUAAUUAAAAAAUAGAAAGAUUCAGCAAAA